rnacentral:lncRNA from 1 species
GUGGUAGCUGGCUAGUAACAGUCACUAAGGUUCAGGGCAGGGUACUGGGUGGAGGCAGGCUAGUAACAGUCACUAAGGUUCAGGGCAGGGUACUGGGUGGAGGCUGGCUAGUAACAGUCACUAAGGUUCAGGGCAGGGUACUGGGUGGAGGCCGGCUAGUAACAGUCACUAAGGUUCAGGGCAGGGUACUGGGUGGAGGCAGGCUAGUAACAGUCACUAAGGUUCAGGGCAGGGUACUGGGUGGAGGCUGGCUAGUAACAGUCACUAAGGUUCAGGGCAGGGUACUGGGUGGAGGCAGGCUAGUAACAGUCACUAAGGUUCAGGGCAGGGUACUGGGUGGAGGCUGGCUAGUAACAGUGACUAAGGUUCAGGGCAGGGUACUGGGUGGAGGCAGGCUAGUAACAGU